GAGCGCCCUCCUUCAAGCGAGCUUGGAGGAUUGCGCGGCGGUGUCUUCGAACGGGCGUAAGCGCGUUUCGAGGGCAACCGUUUCGAAAUCAAUCGGACCAAAGGGCUCGCUUGAUGGAGGGGAGCGGCAGACGGGAGAUUAACACGUGGGAACGUACCCUUUGGUUCGGAACAACCCAGUGAAACUUGGGCUAAUACCGGAUAAUCCCUUACGGGGAAAGAUUCAUCGCCGAAGGAUCGGCCCGCGUCUGAUUAGCUAGUUGGUGGGGUAAUGGCCCACCAAUGCGACGAUCAGUAUCUGGUCUGAUAUGAUGAUCAGCCUCUCUGGGACUGAGACACGGUCCAGACUCCUACGGGAGGCAUCAGUGGGGAAUAUUGGACAAUGGGCGCAAGCCUGAUCCAGCCAUGCCGCGUGGGUGAUGAAGGCCCUAUGGUUGUAAAGCCCUUUCGGCGGGGAAGAUAAUGACGGUAUCCGUAUAAGACAGCCCGGCUAACUUCGUGCCAGCAGCCGCGGUAAU
rnacentral:rRNA from 1 species